rnacentral:lncRNA from 10 species
GUUUGCAAUGUAAUCAGAGUUAAGGGCACUGGCUUUGUCUGCUCAGAGAUUCUUCAGGCCUGGUGAAGAACCUACUUUAACAACGGUAAGCUGACCCCAACUAGUCUCCACAUGCUAUGGUAAUCUUUUUGUGUAAUCUUCUCCCCUUGAGUGUAUGUGGGAAGGUGGACCUGUGACUUGCUUCUAACAAAGAGUAUAUAUCAAAAUAGGUCUCUCCUGUGCUCACAUUUUAUAAGAUUCCUUGCCAGACUUACUUCAAGUCUCUGCACUGCUGGCCUAAAAAGGUGAGCUGAAAGAUAAUAAACUGCCUAUGGAGAGGACUGCGUGGCAGGGAAACAAGCCACCCUGCCAAUCCCCUGCAGGAGCUGAGGGCAGCUCUUAGCACUACAGUUGCAAAAUAAAUAAGCAGGUAAAUUCUGCCAAUAACUUGUGAGAGCUUGGAAACAGAUUCUUCUCCAGUCAAGCCCCAGAAGACAAUGCAACCCAGCCGACACCUUGAUUGCAGCCUUGUGAAAGACCCUGAAACAACCUCAGUGAGAACCCAGCUAAGUCAUUCCUGGACUUCUGAUCCACAGAAACUGUAAGAAUUGGGCACAAUCUUCCAUGAGUAGUCGGCUGAAUGCAGAGGAGACAGAAACAGUGAUCUUUCACGUGGAUCUUUAACACUCUACUCAUGAAGAAGUGAGCUUGUAAACGGUCCAAGGCAUGGGAUUGCAAUUUGCUGGGUUCAAAUGAUGCUGCCCCAUCAUUUUCCAGAUGGGUCUCCACAUUCAUAGAGCAACGGAAUGCUACCACACACACGACAGCCUGCUAGGCAGCCCGAGAAGGUCUAUAAACAGAAAUGUUUGGGAAACAGAUCAAAGUAUUUGUCUCCAAGAGGAAAGAGGAAAUGAAGAGAUGGGCUUAGAGAACAAACACACUGGGCUUGAAUUUCAUCCAGAAAUUUUGCCUUUGUAAAGGAAAAGAAAAAUGUUUCCCAGAAUCAUCUUUAAGAACCACUGAAAAGAUUAUUUGAAAAUUAUUGAAAAUCAAAGCAAAUUUCAGCCCAUCAUUGAAUAAAGAAGUUGCCUCUCUGUGAAUAGAAUAAAUAAAAAUCUCUGUGUUUCAGG